GACGAACGCUGGCGGCGUGCUUAACACAUGCAAGUCGAACGGAAAGGCCCUGCUUUUGUGGGGUGCUCGAGUGGCGAACGGGUGAGUAACACGUGAGUAACCUGCCCUUGACUUUGGGAUAACUUCAGGAAACUGGGGCUAAUAACGGAUAGGAGCUCCUGCUGCAUGGUGGGGGUUGGAAAGUUUCGGCGGUGGGGGAUGGACUCGCGGCUUGUCAGCUUGUUGGUGGGGUCGUGGCUUACCAAGGCUUUGACGGGUAGCCGGCCUGAGAGGGUGACCGGCCACAUUGGGACUGAGAUGCGGCCCGGCCUCCUACGGGAGGCAGCAGUGGGGAAUAUUGCACUAUGGGCGGAAGCCUGAUGCAGCAACGCCGCGUGCGGGAUGACGGCCUUCGGUUUGUAAACCGCUUUCGCCUGUGACGAAGCGUGAGUGACGGUAAUGGGUAAAGAAGCACCGGCUAACUACGUG
rnacentral:rRNA from 1 species